rnacentral:rRNA from 1 species
GACGAACGCUGGCGGCGUGCUUAACACAUGCAAGUCGAACGAGUGGCGAACGGGUGAGUAAUACGUGGGUAACCUGCCCUCUUUUUGGGAUAAGCCUUGGAAACGGGGUCUAAUACCGAAUAAAGGGGGAUGGGCUCGCGGCCUAUCAGCUUGUUGGUGGGGUGAUGGCCUACCAAGGCGGUGACGGGUAGCCGGCCUGGGAGGGUGACCGGCCAGAGUGGGACGGAGAGACGGCCCCGGCUCCUACGGGAGGCGGCAGGGGGGUAUAUUGCUCAAUGGUCGAAAGCCUGAUGCAGCGACGCCGCGUGGGGGAUGAAGUCGUUCGGGUUGUAAACCUAUUUCGCAAACGAACUGGUAGGUGGAGAAGAAGCGCCGGCUAACUACGUGCCAGCAGCCGCGGUAAUAC